UUCGAUUAGAGUUUGAUCAUGGCUCAGAACGUACGCUGGCGGCACGCCUAACACAUGCAAGUCGAACGAAGUAGCAAUACUUAGUGGCAGACGGGUGAGUAACAUGUAGGUAUCUACCCUUUGGCCUGGAAUAACACGAGGAAACUUGUGCUAAUACCGGAUAAGUCUUUACGGAGAAAGCUUUAUGCACCAUUGGAUGAGCCUGCACUUGAUUAGUUUGUUGGUGGGGUAAUGGCCUACCAAGACUUUGAUCAAUAGCUGAUUUGAGAGGAUGAUCAGCCACAUUGGGACUGAGACACGGCCCAAACUCCUACGGGAGGCAGCAGUGGGGAAUCUUGCACAAUGGAGGAAACUCUGAUGCAGCGAUGCCGCGUGAGUGAAGAAGGCCCUUGGGUUGUAAAGCUCUUUCGUCGGGGAAGAAAAUGACUGUACCCGAAUAAGAAGGUCCGGCUAACUUCGUGCCAGCAGCCGCGGUAAUACGAAGGGACCUAGCGUAGUUCGGAAUUACUGGGCUUAAAGAGUUCGUAGGUGGUUGAAAAAGUUGGUGGUGAAAUCCCAGAGCUUAACUCUGGAACUGCCAUCAAAACUUUUCAGCUAGAGUUUGAUAGAGGAAAGCAGAAUUUCUAGUGUAGAGGUGAAAUUCGUAGAUAUUAGAAAGAAUACCAAUUGCGAAGGCAGCUUUCUGGAUCAUUACUGACACUGAGGAACGAAAGCAUGGGUAGCGAAGAGGAUUAGAUACCCUCGUAGUCCAUGCCGUAAACGAUGUGUGUUAGACGUUGGAAAUUUAUUUUCAGUGUCGCAGCGAAAGCGAUAAACACACCGCCUGGGGAGUACGACCGCAAGGUUAAAACUCAAAUGAAUUGACGGGGACCCGCACAAGUAGUGGAGCAUGUGGUUUAAUUCGAAGAUACGCGCAGAACCUUACCAACACUUGACAUGUUCGUCGCGACUUUAAGAGAUUAAAGUUUUCGGUUCGGCCGGGCGAAACACAGGUGCUGCAUGGCUGUCGUCAGCUCGUGUCGUGAGAUGUAGGGUUAAGUCCCGCAACGAGCGCAACCCUCACUUUUAGUUGCCAUCAUUUAGUUGGGCACUCUGAAAGAACUGCCAGUGAUAAGCUGGAGGAAGGUGGGGAUGACGUCAAGUCCUCAUGGCCCUUACGUGUUGGGCUACACACGUGCUACAAUGGUAUUUACAACAGGAAGCAAGACGGCGACGUUAAGCAAAUCCUUAAAAAAUACCUCAGUUCGGAUUGCACUCUGCAACUCGAGUGCAUGAAGCUGGAAUUACUAGUAAUCGUGGAUCAGCGUGCCACGGUGAAUGCGUUCCGCGGGUCUUGUACACACCGCCCGUAAU
rnacentral:rRNA from 1 species